AGGCACAUCUAUAUCUGCAUAUAUCUCGUUCUCAUAACAAUCCAAGAACUUGAGCUUUGAAUGGUUAAGGAACGGCAGUAGUGAGAUUGGAAUUUUGAAUAGGUUUCUUGAAAGUUGUAAUUUAUGUAAGGAUGUGAGAGUCGCCAGGGGAGAUAUGGAGAUAUUUCCAAUGAAGUGAUUGGAAGAUAUAUCUAAUUGUUGAAGGGAUGUUAAAUUUGCUA
rnacentral:misc_RNA from 1 species